GCGCGUCACUUCCGGCCGGGCCGCCGGGCACCGUCCACUGUCAGGCAACCCGUUCCCUCUGGCUGGGUCUGGACGGGCCGCCUUUCUGUGUUCGAGGCCAACGCCCCGCGGUGCCUGCCGGCUGAACCCGAACGGUGCCCACGCUCAGGGGGCCGCGAGGCCACGGUCCCCGAGUGUCAGCCCGGGGCUCCAGAGGGUCGGAGUCGCGGCCGGGUCCUUCGCUCCCGCCGGUCUCCCAACUCCCGCCCCCAUCCAGCCCGCAAACCGCGGCCAUCCGGCGUUCGGCGCUCGACUGCGCGGCGGAUCGACGCCUUCGGCGCUCCGGCGGCGGAAGUGAGGGCGCUGAAGGCUGGGCGGCCGCUGCCCGGGAUCUCCUGCUUGAGCGCUGGGUCCGUGCCUGCCUGUCUGCAGGUUGGGGAGCGCGACGGCCCGUUUCCGCCACCGGCGUGAUGUCUCGAUCUCGACCACCGCCCCUCGUGACAGGCAUCUCUCCAAAUGAGGGGAUACCGUGGACAAAGGUCACGAUUAGAGGAGAAAACCUGGGGACUGGCACACCCGACCUCAUAGGUCUGACAAUUUGUGGGCAUAACUGCCUCCUGACAGCAGAGUGGAUGUCUGCCAGUAAAAUAGUGUGUCGAGUGGGACAGGCCAAGAACGACAAAGGAGACAUUAUCGUCACGACCAAAUCAGGUGGCAGAGGAACCUCCACAGUCUCGUUCAAGCUGCUCAAGCCUGAGAAAAUAGGUGUCUUGGAUCAGUCUGCUGUGUGGGUUGAUGAAAUGAAUCACUACGACAUGCGUACCGGCAGGAAUAAAGGGAUCCCUCCCUUGUCCCUGCGGCCUGCUAACCCACUGGGCAUUGAGAUUGAAAAAGGUCAAUUUCCCCAGAAGGAUCUGGAAGUGCUGUUUCCUGGGAUGAGCGCCGACUUCACAAGUGAGAACUUGUCAGCCGCCUGGUACCUUAUCGAGAACCACUCCAACACCAGUUUUGAGCAGCUCAAAAUGGCAGUCGCCCACCUGAAGAGACAGGCUAACAAGAAGAGCGAGGGCAGCCUGGCGUACGUGAAAGGCGGACUCAGUACUUUCUUUGAGGCACAGGACGCCCUCUCAGCCAUCCAUCAAAAACUGGAAGCAGAUGGAACGGAAAAAGUAGAAGGAUCCAUGACGCAGAAGCUGGAGAAUGUUCUGAACAGAGCAAGCAAUACUGCGGACACAUUAUUUCAAGAAGUCUUAGGUCGAAAGGACAAGGCAGACUCCACAAGAAAUGCACUCACUGUGCUCCAGCGAUUUAAGUUUCUUUUCAACCUUCCUCUGAAUAUUGAAAGGAAUAUUCAAAAGGGUGAUUAUGAUGUGGUUAUUAACGAUUAUGAAAAGGCCAAGUCCCUUUUUGGAAAAACAGAGGUGCAAGUUUUCAAGAAAUAUUAUGCUGAAGUCGAAACACGGAUUGAAGCUUUAAGAGAAUUACUUCUGGAUAAGUUGCUUGAGACACCAUCAACCUUACAUGACCAAAAACGUUACAUAAGGUACUUGUCUGACCUCCGCGCACCCGGCGACCCUGCGUGGCAGUGCAUCGGGGCCCAGCACCGAUGGAUCCUCCAGCUCAUGCACGACUGCAGAGAGGGCUGCGCUCGGGACCUCACAGGGACGCCGGGCCUCCACAGCGCCGUGUCGGACCCGGACAGCGACGCGCGCCCGCCAGCGCUGGGUCAUCUCGGCCACACGGCGUCACUGAAGCGGGGCAGCGGCUUUCAGUCUGGUCGAGGCGAUGCUUGGAGAUACAAAACUCCGCAGCGGGUGGCAUUUGUUGAAAAAUUGACCAAGCUUGUUUUAAGCCAACUACCCAACUUCUGGAAACUGUGGAUUUCGUAUGUUAACGGCAGCCUCUUCAGUGAGACUGCCGAGAAGUCGGGCCACAUUGAAAGAUCAAAGAAUGUAAGACAGAGACAAAGCGAUUUUAAGAAAAUGAUUCAGGAGGUGAUGCACUGUCUCGUGAAGCUGAUCCGCGGGGCGCUGCUCCCGCCCAGCGCAGCGGAGGGCGGCGUGAGGCCGGGCACAGGCCGGGAGGUGAAGGCCGAGCUCUCGGGACAGUGGCUUGCUCACGUCAUACAGACCCUCAGGCUUACUUACGAAUCCUUGACUGCCCUCGAAAUUCCCAGUGACCUGUUACAGACGAUCCAGGACCUGGUCUUGGAUCUCCGAGGGCGCUGCGUGGCGGUCACGCUGCAGCACACGGCAGAAGAAAUAAAGAGAUUGGCUGAAAAGGAAGACUGGAUCGUUGACAGCGAAGGCCUGACGUCUCUACCCUGCCAAUUCGAGCGGCGCGUGGUGCAGUCGCUGCAGUCGCUGCGUGGCGUUCUGGAGUGCAGGCCCGGAGAAGCCAGCGUCUUUCAACAACCUAAAACCCAGGAGGAGGUUUGCCAGCUAAGCAUCAAUAUCAUGCAGAUUUUCAUAUGCUGUCUGGAGCAGUUGAGCACCAAGCCGGACGCUGAUGUGGACACUGCCCACCUCUCCGUUGACGUUGCUUCUCCGGAUUUGUUUGGAAGUAUCCACCAAGAGUUCAGUCUGACGCCUGAACAGCGACUUCUGAUAGUCCUGAGUAACUGCUGCUACCUAGAACGGCACACCUUCCGAAACAUAGCAGAACACUUUGAAAAGCACAACUUCCAGGGCAUAGAAAAGAUCACACAGGUUAGCAUGGCCUCGUUGAAAGAGUUGGACCAGAGACUCUUUGAAAAUUACAUCGAGUUGAAAGCAGACCCCAUCGUUGGCUCCUUGGAACCUGGAAUUUACGCAGGCUACUUCGACUGGAAGGACUGCCUGCCCCCAACAGGUGUCAGAAACUACCUAAAAGAAGCGCUGGUGAGCAUCAUUGCCGUGCACGCGGAGGUGUUCGCUGUCUGCAAAGGCCUGGUGCCUCGCGUGCUGUCCAGGGUGGUGGAGGCGGUUUCUGAGGAGCUGAGUCGGCUGAUGCAGUGCGUCUCGUCCUUCAGCAGAAACGGAGCGCUGCAGGCCAGGCUUGAAAUCUGCGCCCUGAGGGACAUCCUGGCUGCUCACCUGACUCCCGAAAGCAGGUCCAGUUUCAAGCAGGCCCUGGAAGCCCUGCCCCAGCUCUCGAGUGGAGCCGAGAGAACGUUUUAGGAAGAUAGUACUCGAUGGAGAAGGAGGGCCGGGGCUGUUUUCCUUCAGGCAGGUCGGCAGUGUGCGCUCUGCUGUGUCACGUGGACUGUUAAGAGGGCGUUUGUACCUAGGAAGUUACCUGGGAUUCACUAGUGCUGUGUUAAUGGUCUCGGCCUGACCGUAAACUCUGUUACUCACGUAACAAGAAAUUCCCGCCAGACGAAAAUCUAGGCCCGGCCCGUGUCAUCCGAGCCAGUCUCCCCUCACCUGCGGCGGCAGAAACUGGGGGCCUGGCUUCUUCCCCCGCCAGCAGGCCCCCACCGUGGCCCAUCAUCUGCACUGUCUCUGCCCUUCUCGCAGACCCUCGGGCACAGGGCACACGUGGGGCCGGGCUGCUAGGAAGAGCCGUCCCGCGGGGACGUGGCCAGGGCCCGGGAGGAGGAUGCGGCCUUGCCUGCUCCUCGCUGGCCUGGAGACAGCCCCGCCCUGCCUCCCACCUCUUCUCUCACUGACUCCGUGGUUCAUUAACAUAAACGUGCUAGAAGAUUGAGACUCUGUUGCUGCUACUCUGUGGAAUGUGGCUCGGAAGACUAGUGCUUCUCAGCGGCAAAGGCCAGGACGGGGUCAUGGCUAGGCAGGGUCAUGUGAUCCCUGACCCCACUACCGGGAGGCUCUUUCCUUGGUUGCUUCAUCUGAACCAGGUGAACCGGAGGCCUGGAGGUGUGGGUGUCACCAUGUGACAUCCAGGUGAGAGGCCCUGAGGGGUGGGUGUCACUGUGCACCAUCCACGUAGCUGCAGAUGCGGCUCUGGAGACAGGCGGAGUGACUGUGGGAACAGACCUGAUUCUGCUGGUGCCUCCUUCACCCUCCAGCUCACCUCACCAGUGUUCGUUAAAGGCAGAAAAACACAGAACAAGAGGGACGGGAAAUAGACCAGCAGUUGCCUGGGGUGGGGGGAGGGCAAAGGUGAACCAGGGGCACUUGGAGGGGGCAGGGCUGCUGGGUCCCACGUGGGAUGCAGACGGGCAGGACGCGCAGGUGCCAGUCCGUGUCAGGGGAGGGGCUGGGGAGGGCAGGAGCAGUUUAUACAAACACAGGCCUGCAUCCGCAAGGGCGUGCUCCUCUGACGGGCCUCUUUGGUGGACCUGUUUCUGCCGCGGAGUCUGGAAUCCACAGGUCAAGGAGAGAAGCUUCAGGGCAGGGUGGGGGCCUCGCAAGUCCUGCUGUUCCCCCCCCUCCCCAUCCCAGCCCUGGGCUGGUCAGUGCUCUCCCCACAGGCUGCUGGAAGAACUGCUGAACCGGGUCAAAGGCAGCAUGCACCUGCAGCUGGCCUGCUUCCAGGCUGCCCCACCGCCCACUGUGAAGACCUAGGCGUGCCCCCCUGCUGUGCCCGCCCGCGCCCCCAGUGCUCGAGACGCCAGGCUUCUGUGUGACUCGCUCUGAGCCCGCCGCGUGCCUCCCGGGCGCCCACACCUUCCCCCCGCACCUCCAAGCCCCUGCGGGAGCUUUGCUCCUGCGCAGCUUCACGGGCGCUGCACGGACUCUGUGGACCAGGAUGGAGUCAGCUUCCCAGACUAACUUCAUCAGAAGACUGAGUCAGAGUUUGAGAUCUCUCCGCGGAUGCCACGGAAUCCCCUUUACCGCACUGGUGUCAGUGUCUGUGCUAACACCAGGGACUUCGGAGCCCAGCGUGGCGUUUGCGGUGUCCGCCUUUGGAAGAAGUCUCUAUGGGGUUUGUUCGUUUGGUAGCAUCUGGAAGGGGAGGUUUCCUCUGCAGAUGUGCUGACUAAAGCCUGUUAACUCUGCGGAACGUUGUCUCAUCCAAGCAUGUUAACCGCGUUUGUAGCACAGCUCUGAACCAAGUUACAAAACUGCAGUCCCGAAUGUUCGUUAUCUGAAAUGUCUAAUUCAGAGCCUUCAGCCAAUAAAGAAUGUGUCUUUCA